rnacentral:rRNA from 1 species
UAGAGUUUGAUCCUGGCUCAGGACGAACGCUGGCGGCGUGCCUAAUACAUGCAAGUCGAACGCUUCUUUUCCCACCGGAGCUUGCUCCACCGGGAAAAGAGGAGUGGCGAACGGGUGAGUAACACGUGGGUAACCUGCCCAUCAGAAGGGGAUAACACUUGGAAACAGGUGCUAAUACCGUAUAACAAUCGAAACCGCAUGGUUUCGUUUUGAAAGGCGCUUUACGGUGCCGCUGAUGGAUGGACCCGCGGUGCAUUAGCUAGUUGGUGAGGUAACGGCUCACCAAGGCCACGAUGCAUAGCCGACCUGAGAGGGUGAUCGGCCACAUUGGGACUGAGACACGGCCCAAACUCCUACGGGAGGCAGCAGUAGGGAAUCUUCGGCAAUGGACGAAAGUCUGACCGAGCAACGCCGCGUGAGUGAAGAAGGUUUUCGGAUCGUAAAACUCUGUUGUUAGAGAAGAACAAGGGUGAGAGUAACUGUUCACCCCUUGACGGUAUCUAACCAGAAAGCCACGGCUAACUACGUGCCAGCAGCCGCGGUAAUACGUAGGUGGCAAGCGUUGUCCGGAUUUAUUGGGCGUAAAGCGAGCGCAGGCGGUUUCUUAAGUCUGAUGUGAAAGCCCCCGGCUCAACCGGGGAGGGUCAUUGGAAACUGGGAGACUUGAGUGCAGAAGAGGAGAGUGGAAUUCCAUGUGUAGCGGUGAAAUGCGUAGAUAUAUGGAGGAACACCAGUGGCGAAGGCGGCUCUCUGGUCUGUAACUGACGCUGAGGCUCGAAAGCGUGGGGAGCAAACAGGAUUAGAUACCCUGGUAGUCCACGCCGUAAACGAUGAGUGCUAAGUGUUGGAGGGUUUCCGCCCUUCAGUGCUGCAGCUAACGCAUUAAGCACUCCGCCUGGGGAGUACGACCGCAAGGUUGAAACUCAAAGGAAUUGACGGGGGCCCGCACAAGCGGUGGAGCAUGUGGUUUAAUUCGAAGCAACGCGAAGAACCUUACCAGGUCUUGACAUCCUUUGACCACUCUAGAGAUAGAGCUUCCCCUUCGGGGGCAAAGUGACAGGUGGUGCAUGGUUGUCGUCAGCUCGUGUCGUGAGAUGCUGGGUUAAGUCCCGCAACGAGCGCAACCCUUAUUGUUAGUUGCCAUCAUUUAGUUGGGCACUCUAGCAAGACUGCCGGUGACAAACCGGAGGAAGGUGGGGAUGACGUCAAAUCAUCAUGCCCCUUAUGACCUGGGCUACACACGUGCUACAAUGGGAAGUACAACGAGUCGCGAAGUCGCGAGGCUAAGCUAAUCUCUUAAAGCUUCUCUCAGUUCGGAUUGUAGGCUGCAACUCGCCUACAUGAAGCCGGAAUCGCUAGUAAUCGCGGAUCAGCACGCCGCGGUGAAUAUGUUCCCGGGCCUUGUACACACCGCCCGUCACACCACGAGAGUUUGUAACACCCGAAGUCGGUGAGGUAACCUUUUGGAGCCAGCCGCCUAAGGUGGGAUAGAUGAUUGGGGUGAAGUCGUAACAAGGUAGCCGUA